rnacentral:lncRNA from 10 species
AGGAACAUCACAAAAUAUUUAACAUAAUUUCUUCCCUUUGGUAGGUUCAGCCUAUCAAAGACUCUUUUCUGCCCUGUGUUUUAGAAUUUUUAGCAUGCUUUCCAUUAUUUAUUUAGGAAGCAAGCAUUCAGGAAAUUAAAAAUUUGGCUCUUCACAACUGUAAGUGAAAGAGUAAUUUAUAAAGGCUUUUAAAAAAUACUUUAAACCUUUCAGAACACUGUUAAUUUACUGCAUGUUUUGGUUUGUCACAUGACUUUUUAGAAUAACAAGAUCCAUUUAAUCUACGAACUCAUGCUAAUUUCCCCUUGAAAAAUGCUCACCACAGUCUCUCUUGCCCUUCUGACAGCUUUUUUCUGACCAACUGGAGGCCAUAAAAUAUACUACAUGCUAAGAAUUGUCUACACUUCCUAACUCCCUCACUAACAAUGCCUGAAAGGCAUAGAAAGAUGACUAAUGACUUAUCAUGUUUGCUGAACACAUGGCUGAAUUUUAAAAUGUUGCCUUUAUGUCCAAGCAACCCAACAGCUGGUAGGAGAUGCUUUAACUUUUACCUCUUCCCUAUGACACCUGACCUCCUUUUCCUCUAUGUGAGACCCAGGAGAAACUAGUAAUAGGUAUGUAUGGAAUAAUUAUUUUUAGACAAAAAUCAUCCCAAGUUCUAUUUUAGCAAGUUAGUAACUAAUGCCCUGUUACCUCAAACUCUGCAAAAAGGACCCUCUGAAAUACACUUAAAGGGACAAUGGCCACAUUGAACAAAGUAAAGCAAGAGAGGAGUCUGUCUCUCUCGCGUUUCAACAUUUCCGUAAGGUGUGAAAGAGAAAAAAUUCAGAAUGACUUAAUUUCAAGAUUUAUAAUGCUUAAAUCCCUGAAAAAGGGGUGUAAGGUGACUAAUAGCAAUGGACCCUAAAUUCUCUAAAAAGUCCACAUAUAUAUAUUUCAAAGCUGCAAAUUAUGACAGAAAACCUAAUAUGAAGUUAAGGUAGAAAAUAUGGAUUUACUUGUUGGAAGACAUAAUACAGAAUAAUUUCAAAUAAUUUCUUCAAUAAUAAUACUUUACAACCUGACUAGUAAAAUUAUCCCAUUCAUAUGGUUUCACUCUGUAUCCCCACCCAAAUCUCCUCUUGAAUUUUGGCUCCCAUAAUUCCCACGUUUUGUGGGAGGGAUGCUGUGAGGGAUAAUUGAAUCAUUGGGGCGGUUUCUCCAUACAGUUCCUGUGGUAGUUCAUGUGGGCUCAUGAGACCCGAUGGUUUUAUAAGGGGUUUCCACUUUUGCUUCUCUCUCAUUCUCUCUUGCUGCCACCACGUAAGGAGUGCCUUUCACCUUUCGCCAUGAUUGUGAGGCUUUCUCAACCACGUGGAACUGUGAGUCCAUUAAACCUAUUUUUUCCCCACUCUCAGGUAUGUCUUUAUCAGCAGCAUGAAAACAGAUGAAUACACCCAUAAAGUUGUCACACUCUUCACAAAAUGUAACUCAAAACGUAUCACAGACCUAAAUGUACAAUGCAAAACUAUGAGACACCUAGAAUUUAACAUAGAAGAAAAUCUACAUCACCUCGGUUUUGGAAAGUUUUUUUAGAUACAACGCAAGAGGUAUGAUCCAUGAAAGAAAGAAUUGAAAAGCUGUAUUUCAUUACAAUUAAAAAUUUUUGUUUUGUGAAAGACAGCGUCAAGAGAAUGAUGAGGAGACAAGCCAGAGACUGGGGGAAAAUAUUUGCCAAAGACAUAUCUGAUAAAAGUCUGUUAUUCAAAAUAUGAAAAUAAUAUAAAAAACUCAACAAUAAGAAAAAAAAAUGCAACUUAAAAAUGAGCCAAAGACCUUGAUAGACACCUCACCAAAGAUGAUAUGCAUACGGCAAAUAAGCACAUUGAAAGUUGAUCUACAGCAUAUGUUAUUCAGGACUCGCAAAUUGAAACCAUGGGAUAGCACUAUAAACUUAUUAGAAUGGCCAAAACUCAGAACGCUGACAACACCAAAAGCUGGGGAUAAUGUGGCACUAUAGAGACUCUGAUUCAUUGCUGGUGGGAAUGCAAAAUGAUACAGCAACUUUGGAAAACAGUUUGGCAGCUUCCUCUCAAACUAAACAUACUCUUACCAAGGGAUCCAGCAAUUAUACUCAUUGGUAUGUACACAAAAAGUUGAAAAGGUAUGUCCACACAAAAGCUUGCAGACAGAUGUUUAUAGCAGCUUUAUUCAUAAUUCCAAAAACUUGGAAGCAAGCAACACGUCCUUCAGUAAGUGAUUGAAUAAACUGUGGUAUAUCCAGACAAUGAUACAUUAGUCAGCACUAAAAAUAAACUUUAAUGCAGUAACUGGAAGAAGCCAACCAGGAAAGGCUACCUACUGUAAGAUUCUAACUAUAAGAAAUGCUGGAAAAGGCAAACUAUGAGACACAAAAAAGAUCAGUGGUUUGCCAGGGGUUAUUAGGGAGGAAAGGAUGAAUAGGCAGAUCACAGAAGACUUUUAGUGGAGUGAAACUACUCUGUAUGAUAGUAUAAUGGUAGAUACAUGUCAUUUUAAAUUUGUCCAAACCCAUAGAAUGUACAACACCAAGAGUCAACUCUAAUGUAAACUAUGGACUUUGAGGCCAGGCACGGUGGCUCACGCCUGUAAUCCCAGCACUUUGGGAGGCCUAGGCGGGCGGAUCGUGAGGUCAGCAGUUCGAGACAGCCUGGCCAACAUGGUGAAGCCCCAUCUUUACUAAAAAUACAAAAAUUAGCCAGGUGUGGUGGUGGGUGCCCGAAAUCCCAGCUACUCAGGAGACUGAGGCAGGAGAAUCGCUUGAACUCAGGAGGCAGAGUUUGUAGUGAGCUGAGACCAUGCCAUUGCACUCCAGCCUGGGCGAUAGAGUGAGACUCUGCCUCAAAACAACAACAACAACAACAACAAAAACUAUGGACUUUGAGUGAUAAUAAUGUGUCAGUAUAGGUUUAUGGACUGUACCAAAUGCACCACACUGGAGGAGUAUGUUGAUAAUGGGGAGGGUUCUGCAAUGUGUGGGGGCAGUAGGUACAUGGGAAAUCUUUGUACCCUCUGUUCAGUAUUACUGUGAACCAAAACAGCUCUAAAAAAGUAAGUAUUUUAAAAAGAAAGGCAGAAUGUUAGCUUUAGGUUUAAAACACAUAGCAGAGGUGUUCUGGUUUGAAUUGAUGGUUUAGUGCUCUGAGAAUACUAGUUUAGGGGUAAUUUCCUAUUUCUUCCCACUGCAGAAGUGAGUAAUUUGAUGAUUUUCAUGCAUAUUCUAAAUCUUCCCAGAGCUGUCAAAGUGCUUCAGAAACUGAAUGUUUUGAAUUUUUCCUUCUUGAUUGUGCUCACAAUGUAGGUGCAAAUAGAUUGUAGAUCAAUGUUAUUAAACUCCUUUAUUUUCAAAGUUGGGAUCAGUAUUUUCUCCCUAGAAGAUUUCAGGGGGAUUAACUCCAAAGAGCAAGAUUUCAGUAGCUUAAAUAUCCUUAUAGUGAUUUUGUGAAUCCUGGUAAUUGUUUUCAUCAGAAAUCUCCCAUUUUUAUGCAGAUUCUUCAUAAAUUCAAGAACCCCUUCUCCACUAUCUGUUCAGUUCUUGAGUGCUUUUGGGAGGUGUUGCUUCAUUUAAGUAUAAAAACAAGAUGUAUACUACUCACCUUGCUCAACUGGAAGAUACGAUAUCCAUUAGCUAUAUGAUUUUUCCUCUUAGCCUUUCCCCACACCCUACUUAGCUUGAAUUAUUAGUCUAAGAUAUGUAAAUUAUUAGUCUAAUACAUGUGAG